GAUGAACGCUGGCGGCGUGCCUAAUACAUGCAAGUCGAACGAGGUGCUUUUGUAGCAAUACGAGAGUAUCCUAGUGGCGAACGGGUGAGUAACGCGUUGGUGACCUACCCCAAAGUGUGGGAUAACAGUCCGAAAGGAUUGCUAAUACCGCAUGUGGUCUUCGGAUUUAGAAACUGAUGACUAAAGGAGCAAUUCGCUUUGGGAGGGACCUGCGUCCCAUCAGCUAGUUGGUGAGGUAAUGGCUCACCAAGGCUACGACGGGUAGGGGACCUGGGAGGGUGACCCCCCACAAUGGAAAUGAAACACGGUCCAUACACCUACGGGUGGCAGCAGUAGGGAAUAUUGCACAAUGGGCGAAAGCCUGAUGCAGCAACGCCGCGUGUGCGAUGAAGGCCUUCGGGUCGUAAAGCACUUUUCUGAGGGAUGAGCAAGGACAGUACCUCAGGAAUAAGUCUCGGCUAACUACGUGCCAGCCGCCGCCGUAAGAC
rnacentral:rRNA from 1 species